CCAGCUCCAAUAGCGUAUAUUAAAGUUGUUGCAGUUAAAAAGCUCGUAGUUGGAUUUCGGAAGGUCCUUAGCAAUCCGCCCCUUCGGGGAGCGGGUUGCUGGCCUCCUAUGUUCCUAACGGUCCUCGUCCGCGAGGGCGGGGAAUCAACCGCUAGGAUCGUUUACUUUGAGGAAAUUAGAGUGUUCAAAGCAGGCGUAACUCGCCUCCGAAUACGUUAGCAUGGGAUAAUGGAAUACGACUUCGGUCUUGUUUCGUUGGUUUCGCUUGGCUGAAGUAAUGAUUGAUAGGGACAGUUGGGGGCAUUAGUAUUUAGUUGUCAGAGGUGAAAUUCUAGGAUUUACUAAAGACUGACCAAUGCGAAAGCAUUUGCCAAGGAUGUUUUCAUUAAUCAAGAACGAAAGUAGGGGGAUCGAAGACGAUCAGAUACCGUCGUAGUCUCUACCGUAAACUAUGCCGACCAGGGAUCCGGAGAGUUUGCAUGGAUGACUCCCCGGGCACCUUGUGAGAAAUCAUAAGUGUUUGGGUUUUGGGGGGAGUAUGGUCGCAAGGCUGAAACUUAAAGGAAUUGACGGAAGGGCACCACCAGGAGUGGAACCUGCGGCUUAAUUUGACUC
rnacentral:rRNA from 1 species